UAGUAACGGCGAGUGAAGCGGGAAGAGCUCAAGCUUAAAAUCUCUGCGCAAGUUUUGCGUGGCGAAUUGUAGUCUAUAGACGCGUAAUCAGUGCGGCUGCUCGGGAUAAGUUCCUUGGAAGAGGACAGCAUGGAGGGUGAUACUCCCGUUUGUGCCUGAGCAUGUUGCGCGUACGAUUUGUGUUCUUUGAGUCGCGUUGUUUGGGAAUGCAGCGCAAAGUAGGUGGUAAAUUCCAUCUAAAGCUAAAUAUUGGUGCGAGACCGAUAGCGAACAAGUACCGUGAGGGAAAGAUGAAAAGAACUUUGAAAAGAGAGUUAAAGAGUACCUGAAACUGCUGAAAGGGAACCGGGUCGUUGCCAGUGUCUAUAAUCGUCGGCAUAUUUCAUUGCUGUGCGGGUCUGUGUCGCGCGUUGGUAGUAGUUUGUUCUGGCGCCGCGUGUGUCGUUCAGGUUUGCUCGGCGGUGCCCUGUGUCGGUGUGGGACGUCAGAGUCAGUUCGUGUGCUGCGGGAAAUGGCUGUCGAGGAGGUAGGUCAGGAGUUCGCUUUUGGCUGUUAUAUCUUGGCGUGCUAGUUGUCGUGGUUGGGACUGAGGUGCCUACAACGUGCUUUUGAGUGCGUGUGCGUCUCUGUUUGCGUGCGAGUUGGAUAGCUUGCUAUGCAGUUUGCAUUGUGUGCGGAUGGAUGUAUGCGUUAACUUGGUAUGCCGUUC
rnacentral:rRNA from 1 species